GAACCCCUCCUGUGUACGUGAUGUUGCGCUAAGUUUUGAGCCAACAUGAAACAUAGGGGACCCGUGCUACGAUGGGGGACGCGAUAGGCUACGGCCAAGGCGGAGCCCAUCUGCAGGGACCCACCUGCGCAAGCAGGUUCAAAACCGAGCACCACACGGCAUGGUGGGGAAGUC
rnacentral:other from 1 species